rnacentral:rRNA from 1 species
UGGGGAAUAUUGGACAAUGGGCGAAAGCCUGAUCCAGCCAUGCCGCGUGUGUGAAGAAGGUCUUCGGAUUGUAAAGCACUUUAAGUUGGGAGGAAGGGCAGUAAGCGAAUACCUUGCUGUUUUGACGUUACCGACAGAAUAAGCACCGGCUAACUCUGUGCCAGCAGCCGCGGUAAUACAGAGGGUGCAAGCGUUAAUCGGAAUUACUGGGCGUAAAGCGCGCGUAGGUGGUUCGUUAAGUUGAAUGUGAAAGCCCCGGGCUCAACCUGGGAACUGCAUCCAAAACUGGCGAGCUAGAGUAGGGCAGAGGUGGUGGAAUUUCCUGUGUAGCGGUGAAAUGCGUAGAUAUAGGAAGGAACACCAGUGGCGAAGGCGACCACCUGGGCUCAUACUGACACUGAGGUGCGAAAGCGUGGGGAGCAAACAGG